GACGAACGCUGGCGGCGUGCUUAACACAUGCAAGUCGAACGGAGUGGCGAACGGGUGAGUAACACGUGGGUGACCUGCCUUGCACUUCGGGAUAAGCUCGGGAUACUGGGUCCAAUACCGGAUCGUGCAAGAGGAGCUUGCGGCCAGUCAGCUUGUUGGUGGGGUAAUGGCCUACCAAGGCGUCGACGGGUAGCCGGCCUGAGAGGGUGUACGGCCACAUUGGAGCUGAGAUACGGGCCAGAAUCCUACGGGGGGCAGAGGGGGGGAAUAUUGCACAAUGGGCGGAAGCCUGAUGCGGGGGCGCCGCGUGGGGGAUGAAGGCCUUCGUGUUGUAAACUCCUAUCGACAGGGACGCGGUACCUGUAGAAGAAGCACCGGCUAACUACGUGCCAGCCGCCGCGGUAAUUC
rnacentral:rRNA from 1 species